rnacentral:rRNA from 1 species
UACGUAGGGGGCGAGCGUUGUCCGGAAUUACUGGGCGUAAAGGGCGCGUAGGCGGCUCGUUAAGUCCGCUGUGAAAGACCGAGGCUCAACCUCGGGAGGUCAGCGGAGACUGGGGGGCUUGGGUGUCGGAGAGGAGCGCGGAAUCCCUGGUGUAGCGGUGGAAUGCGUAGAGAGUCAGGGGGAACACCGAUGGCGAAGGCAGCGCUCUGGCCGAAGACCGACGCUGAGGCGACGAAGCUGGGGGAGCGAACGGG